GAUCAUGGCUCAGGAUGAACGCUAGCUACAGGCUUAGCACAUGCAAGUCGAGGGGCAGCAUGGUCUUAGCUUGCUAAGGCUGAUGGCGACCGGCGCACGGGUGAGUAACACGUAUCCAACCUGCCGUCUACUCUUGGCCAGCCUUCUGAAAGGAAGAUUAAUCCAGGAUGGGAUCAUGAGUUCACAUGUCCGCAUGAUUAAGGGUAUUUUCCGGUAGACGAUGGGG
rnacentral:rRNA from 1 species